rnacentral:rRNA from 1 species
AACGAACGCUGGCGGCAUGCCUAACACAUGCAAGUCGAACGGAACCUUCGGGUCUAGUGGCGCACGGGUGCGUACCGAGUGGUAACCUGCCCUUGGGUUCGCAAUACCUCCCCGAAAGAGGUGCUAAUACCGGUUCAUCUCUUCCGACCAAAGAUGUUUCGCCUUUGGAUGGGCCCGCGUUGGUUUCGCGAGUUGGUAGGGUAAAAGCCUACCAAGGCGUCGAUCCAUAGCUGGUCGGAGAGGAGGAUCCGCCACACUGGGAAUGCGACACGGCCCAGACUCGUACGGAAGGGAGCAGUGGGGAAUAUUGGAGGAGGGGCGAAGGCGUGAUACAGCAACGCCGGGUGAGUGGUGAAGGCCUUAGGGAUGUAAAGUUCUUUGAGCCGGGAUGAUAAUGACAGUACCGGGAGAAUAAGCACCGGCUAACUCCGUG